rnacentral:rRNA from 1 species
UACGUAGGGUGCAAGCGUUAAUCGGAAUUACUGGGCGUAAAGCGUGCGCAGGCGGCUUUGCAAGACAGAUGUGAAAUCCCCGGGCUUAACCUGGGAACUGCAUUUGUGACUGCAUGGCUAGAGUGCGGCAGAGGGGGAUGGAAUUCCGCGUGUAGAAGUGAAAUGCGUAGAUAUGCGGAGGAACACCGAUGGCGAAGGCAAUCCCCUGGGCCUGCACUGACGCUCAUGCACGAAAGCGUGGGGAGCAAACAGG